rnacentral:lncRNA from 1 species
AAACUAGAGGCUCUAAAGAGCCUGUGUCGCUCACCUUGGUCUUGUGCAUAUUAAACAAUGGACACAGAUAAAUUCAUGACAUAAUUGUGUUUUGGUGAUAGUGAUGUGUUUGUAGAUCUUACUUUACUGAACAUUCUUGUUGCUACAAUUAUCUCUAUCUAUAAUGAACUUGGCCCAGUAAUUACAGUGGAAAAUAUUUUUAAAAAAUUUACAAAAAAUUAUGAAAAAUGUUAAAAAUUAACUAUAAAGGGCAAUAACUCCUUAAGGGGUCAAUUGACUAUUUUGGUCAUGUAAACUUAUUUGUAGAUCUUAUUUUGCUGAACGUUAUUGCUGUAUACAGUUUAUCUCUAUAUAUAAUAAUAUUCAAGAUAAUAACAAAAAAUGGCAAAAUUUCCUUAAAAUUACCAAUUCAGGACAGUAACCUAACAACGGGUUGUCCGAUCCAUGUGAAAACAUCAGGGCAGAUAGAUCUUGACCUGAUAAACAAUUAAACCCUGUCAGAUUUUCUCUCAAUGCUUCGGUUUUUGAGUUAUAAGCCAAAAACUGCAUUUUACCUCUAUGUUCUAUUAUUAGCCGUGGCAGCCAUUUUGGUUGAUUGGCCAGGUCACGCCACACAUUUUUUAAACAAGUUACCCCAAUGAUGAUUGUGGCCAAGUUUAGUUUAAUUUGGCCCAGUAGUUUCAGAGAAGAAGAUUUUUGUAAAAGAUUACUAAGAUUUACGAAAAAAUGGUUAAAAAUUGACUAUAAAGGGCAAUAACUCCUUCAGGGGUCAACUGACCAUUUUGGUCAUGCUGACUUAUUUGUAAAUCUUACUUUGCUGAACAUUAU